GAUGAACGCUAGCGGCAGGCUUAACACAUGCAAGUCGAGGGGCAGCAUGACACGGAGAUUCGUCGAAGUGUUGAUGGCGACCGGCGCAAGGGUGCGUAACGCGUGAGCAACUUGCCCGUUUCUGGGGAAUAACCGGUGGAAACGCCGACUAAUACCCCAUAGUAUAGACGAAAGGCAUCUUUUGUUAUUAAAGAAUUUCGGAAACGGAUAGGCUCGCGUGACAUUAGCUAGAUGGCGGGGUAACGGCCCACCAUGGCGACGAUGUCUAGGGGGUUCUGAGAGGAAGGUCCCCCACACUGGAACUGAGACACGGUCCAGACUCCUACGGGAGGCAGCAGUGAGGAAUAUUGGUCAAUGGUCUGACGACUGAACCAGCCAUGCCGCGUGAAGGUCACGGCCCUAUGGGUCUUAAACUUCUUUUGUAAGGGAGCAAUAAGUUCUACGUGUAGGACGAUGAGAGUACCUUACGAAUAAGCAUCGGCUAACUCCGUG
rnacentral:rRNA from 1 species